GUUACCUACGGGGGGCAGCAGUGAGGAAUAUUGGUCAAUGGUCGGGAGACUGAACCAGCCAAGCCGCGUGAGGGAGGAAGGUACAGAGUAUCGUAAACCUCUUUUGUCAGGGAACAAAGGCGGGGACGUGUCCCCGGAUGAGUGUACCUGAAGAAAAAGCAUCGGCUAGCUCCGUGCCAGCAGCCGCGGUAAUACGGAGGAUGCGAGCGUUAUCCGGAUUUAUUGGGUUUAAAGGGUGCGCAGGCGGUCUGGUAAGUGAGCGGUCAAAGCCCGGGGCGCAACCCCGGCCCGCCGUUGAAACUGGG
rnacentral:rRNA from 1 species